GCCAAAUCCCCCUACACCGUCCUCCACCGCACCCGCCCCUGAUCUUCUCCAUAGACCCUUCUAUAGUGAAGCACCAUGAACAACAAGAACUCAAGGAAGUAAUCGGCUCCAUUCUGUUAAUGUUUUCUCCUCCAUGAAGGAAACAACAUAUCUUUUCAUAUUGCUGGAAGAAUUCUGGAGGUGAUUCCCAAGCACUUUUACGCCACGAGAAAUUCUAGUUCUAUGUAUUUUGCUCUUUAAGUUUUUUUUUUUUUUAUAUUAUUGGGUUUUCUUUAGCUUUGUUAGGUAAUUCAUAUUGAAAAAUGUUGCAAUGUUUGGUUUUAUUUUAUUGAUAUAGUUAUUGGUUAUAUUCUAUAAUUUUAUGAAGUUUUAAUUUUCAGCGUUUGCCUGAAAAAUAAAUGUCGGUUCAGUGUAUGGUAGCAAUUAACUGGAGAUGGUGGAACGGAAAGGGGAGGAGAAAGAGAAAGAGCACUCCUUUUUAAAAAAAAAAAGGUAUGUAUGGCAC
rnacentral:lncRNA from 1 species